AAAGUCGUAACAAGGUCUCCGUAGGUGAACCUGCGGAGGGAUCAUUAC
rnacentral:rRNA from 1 species